rnacentral:tRNA from 1 species
GCGCAUGUGGUGAAAUUGGUAGACACGCUAUCUUCAGGCGGUAGUGCCGCAAGGUGUGGAGGUUCGAAUCCUCUCAUGCGCA